rnacentral:rRNA from 1 species
AGGGUUUGAUCAUGGCUCAGGAUGAACGCUAGCGGCAGGCCUAAUACAUGCAAGUCGAGGGGCAGCACUUACUUCGGUAAGUGGCGACCGGCGCACGGGUGAGUAACACGUAUGCAACCUACCUUUAACUGGGGCAUAGCUCGAGGAAACUCGAAUUAAUUCCCCAUAAUAUAAUACAUUAUCUCAUGAUAUAAUUAUUAAAGAUUUAUCGGUUAAAGAUGGGCAUGCGUCUGAUUAGUUUGUUGGUGAGGUAACGGCUCACCAAGACUUCGAUCAGUAGGGGGUCUGAGAGGAUGAUCCCCCACACUGGUACUGAGAUACGGACCAGACUUCUACGGAAGGCAGCAGUAAGGAAUAUUGGGCAAUGGGCGAAAGCCUGACCCAGCCAUGCCGCGUGCAGGAUGACGAUCUUACGGAUUGUAAACUGCUUUUAUAUAGGAAGAAAAUACUCUUGCGAGAGUAACUGACGGUACUAUAAGAAUAAGGACCGGCUAACUCCGUGCCAGCAGCCGCGGUAAUACGGAGGGUCCAAGCGUUGUCCGGAUUUAUUGGGUUUAAAGAGUGCGUAGGUGGUUUAUUAAGUCAGUGGUGAAAUCCUGCAGCUCAACUGUAGAACUGCCAUUGAAACUGAUAAACUUGAGUUUGGUUUAGGUAAGUGGAAUUUAUGAUGUAGCGGUGAAAUG